UGAGGAAUAUUGGUCAAUGGGCGAGAGCCUGAACCAGCCAAAUCGCGUGAAGGAAGACUGCCUUAUGGGUUGUAAACUUCUUUUAUACAGGAAUAAAAAAGGGGACGUGUCCCUUAUUGCAUGUACUGUAUGAAUAAGCAUCGGCUAACUCCGUGCCAGCAGCCGCGGUAAUACGGAGGAUGCGAGCGUUAUCCGGAUUUAUUGGGUUUAAAGGGUGCGCAGGCGGGCUUUUAAGUCAGCGGUGAAAUCUCGGGCUUAACUCCGAAACUGCCGUUGAAACUGGGAGUCUUGAGUAUGGAUGAAGUAGGCGGAAUUCGUUGUGUAGCGGUGACAUGCUUAGAUAUAACGAGGAACUCCGAUUGCGUAGGCAGCUUACUAAGCCAUAACUGACGCUCAAGCACGAAAGCGUGGGGAUCAAACAGGAUUAGAUACCCUGGUAGUCCACGCCGUAAACGAUGAUUACUAGUUGUAUGCGAUAUACCGUAUGUGACUAAGCGAAAGCGAUAAGUAAUCCACCUGGGGAGUACGCCGGCAACGGUGAAACUUAAAGGAAUUGACGGGGUCAUAGCUGUUUCCU
rnacentral:rRNA from 1 species